GAUAUUUAAAAUUGAGAAUGUUCCUGAAAAUUCAGAUAUAUGAUUGUCCAACUCAUAGCAUUCUUCAAGAAUAGAAUCAGAUAAUAGUUCCAGAGUAUGUUUGAGAUAAGAGAAUGCACUAUUAGUUAAACAUUUUAUGAAAUUUCCACAGAUGCUAAUAUUUUUAGUUAGAAUUUCAUUAUUAUUUUAGUGAAUAUAACUGAUUUGUAUGUAUACAGCUGUCACUGAAAAUAAAUAAUAUAAGAUCAUGGUCUAGCAUAUGAUUAAUCCUUUGUUAUUUAAGAGAAAGUUAUUUUAUUUUGAAAUCCACUAUGGUUAUCUUCCACAUGAUGAAAAAUAAAUUCAUGAAUAUAAUACCAGAUAUCAUACUAGCAGAAACACCCAAGUGUCUAGAGUCUACAAAACUGAGUCAUAAACCAAAAGCAAUUAAUACCUCUAGUCAUUGGCUAAACUAGUUUCUAAAAGAUAGUUCUGUUGGCCCAAGGAAAAGCUUCCCCUUUUCCCUCUGAAGGUUCACUAAAAAUCAUGGUCAAAAACAUGUUAAUGGGAGAAAAGGCAUACAAAUUUAUUUGAUAAUAGUUUUAUGUGACAUAGUAGCCUUUAGAAUGAAGGAUAGGGUAUCUUACCAAAGAUAUAGGGAAAACUAUCCAUUUUAUGAUUAAGUUCAAUGAAGUAUGAACAGCCAUGUAGAAAUAUGAUUAGACAGAAAGGAUAUGAUCCAAUGCUAAUAUACUGAGUGGGGAAACCUAGCAAGGCCUGUCUGUUUAGAUUAUUCUUGGCCUCUGUGUGCAGCAUUUUUUUUUUCUGGGUAGGGGAAAGAGCCUUUCUGGAAUGGAGCUCUUAUGAUUUAUAAUCAAACGGAUAAUUUAUUUACAGACAGUGUUUUUUUUUUUUUGAGAUGGAGUUUUGCUUUUGUUACCCAGACUGGAGUUCAAUGGCGGGAUCUCAGCUCACCGCAACCUCUGCCUCCUGGGUUCAGGCAAUUCUCCUGCCUCAGCCUCCUGAGUAGCUGAGAUUACAGGCAUGCAACACCAUGCCCAGCUAAUUUUUUGUAUUUUUAGUAGAGAUGGGGUUUCACCAUGUUGACCAGGGUGGUCACAAUCUCUUGACCUCAUGAUCCACCCACUUCUGCCUCCCAAAGUGCUGGGAUUACAGGUGUGAGCCACUGCGCCUGGCCAGACAGUGGUAUCUUAAAGUAAUAUUUUAAAGUUUUAUGGCUGGCUUUGGAGGAAAGGGGUUCUUGAUUCUAGGACCUUUCUUGGGGAAGAGACUUGGGGUAGAAUGAAUGAAUGGUCAGACACAGGAGAGUAGAAGUUCAGAGAGAGCCACUUCUGAACCCUUCAUUUUGAGAUAUCAUUUUCUGAGACCCUACAGUAUAUAAUAUAAAACAUAUUUUAUGAUAUACCUUUAUAGUGCUGCAAUGGUUAGUCUUAUUUGUAAGCUUGUCUAGGCUAUGGUACUUAGUUAUUCAUUGAAAUACUACAUUGGGUAUUGUUGUGAAGGCAUGCUGUAGAUAAGGAUAACAUCUACAUUCAGUUGAUUGUAAGUAAAGGAGACUCUUAAUAAUGUGGGUGGGCCUAUAAAAUCAGUUGAAGGCCUUAAGAGCAAAACUGUCCUGGAGAAGGAAUUGUGCCUCAAGGCUGCAACACCAUUUCUGCCUGAGUUUCCAGACUGCUGGUAUAUCCUACAGAUUUCAGACUUAUCAGUCUCCACAAUUGCAAGAGUCAAUUUCUUAAAAUCAAUCAAUCAUCUAUGUGUAUUAGUCUGUUUUCAUAGUGCUAAUAAAGACAUACCUGAGACUGGGCAAUUUACAAAAGAAAGAGGUCUGAUGGACCCACAGUUCCACUUGGCUUGGGAGGCAUCACAAUUAUGGCAGAAAGAAGGCACAUCAUACAUGGUGGCAGACAAGAGAAGAGAGCUUGUGCAGAGAAACUCCCCUUUAUAAAACCAUCAGAUCUGAUGAGACUUAUUCACUAUCAUGAGAAUAGCAUGGGAAAGACCUGCCCCCAUGAUUCAAUUACCUUUCACCAGAUCCCUCCUACAACACGUAGAAAUUAUGAGAGCUACAAUUCAAGAUGAGAUUUGAGCAAGAACACAGCCAAACCAUAUCAUUUCACCCCUGAUCCCUCCCAAAACCAAUCAUGCCUUGUAAACAGUCCCCAAAAAUCUUAACUCAUUUCAGCAUUAACUCAAAAGUACACAGUCCAAAAUCUCAUCUGAGACAAGGCAAAUCCCUUUGUACUAUGAACCUGUAAAAUAAAAACCAAGUGAGUUACUUCCUAGAUACAAUGGUUAAAUACAGCUGGUCCAAAUGGGAGAAAUUGGCCAAAAAAAGGGGGGCUGCAGUCCCCAUGCAAGUCUGAAAUCCAGCAGGGCAGUUAAACUUUAAAGCUCCAAAAUGAUCUUCUUUGACUCUGUGUCUCACAUCCAGGUCAUGCUGAUGCCAAGAGGUGGGUCCUCAUGGUCUUGGGCAGCUCUACCCCUGUGGCUUUGCAAGGUACAGCCUCCUUUCUGGCUGCUUUCAUGGGUUGGCAUUGAGUGUCUGUGGCUUUUCCAGGAGCAGGCUAUAAGCUGAGGGUGGAUCUACUAUUUUGGUGUCUGGAGGAUGGUGGCAUUCUCCUCACAGCUCUACUAGGUAGCAACCCAGUGGGGAAUCUGUGUGAGAGCACCCACCUUACAUUUCUCUUCUUCACUGCCCUAACAGAGGUUCUCCAUGAAUGCUCUACCCCUGGAGCAAACUUUUGCCUGGGCAUCCAGGCAUUUCCACAUAUUCUUUGAAAUCUAGGUGGAGGUUCUCAAACCUCAAUUUUUGACUUCUGUGUAUCCUCAGGCUAAAUAUCACAUGGAAGCAGCCAAGGCUUGGGGCUUCCACUCUCUGAAGCCAUGACCCAAGCUGUACCUUGGCCCCUUUUAGUCACGACUGGAGCAACUGAGAGACAGGACACCCUAGACUGCACACAGCAGAGGGACCCUGGGCCUGGUCCACAAAACCAUCUUUUCUUCCUUGGCCUCUAGGUCCACAAUGGGAGGGGCAACUGCAAAGGUCUCUGACAGGCCAUGGAGACAUUUUCCCCAGUGUCUUGGUGAUUAACAUUCAGCUCCUUGUUAUUUAUAAAAAUUUCUACAGCCAGCUUGAAUUUCUUCUCACAAAAAUGGGGUUUACUUUUCUCAGAAAAUUGCAUUGUCAGGAGGCAAAUUUUCCAAACUUUUAUGCUCUGCUUCCCUUAUAAUACCGUAUGCAUUUAACAGCACCCAAGUCACAUCAUGAAUGUUUUAUUGCUUAGAAAUUUAUUCCACCAGAUGCCUUAAAUUGUCUCUCUUAAGUUCAAAGUUCCACAAAUAUUUAGGGCGGGGCAAAAUGCUGCCAGUCUCUUUGCUAAACCAUAACAAGAGUCAUCUUUGCUCCAGUUCCCAACAAGUUCCUCAUCUCCAUUUGAGACCACCUCAGCCUGGAUUUCAUUGUUCAUAUCAUUAUCAGCAUUUUGGUUAAAGGCAUUCAACAAGUCUCUAGGGAGUUCCAAACUUUCCCACAUCUUCCUCUCUUCUGAGCCCUCCAAACUGUUUCAACCUCUGCCUGUUACCCAAUUCCAAAGUCACUUCCACAGUUUCAGGUAUGUUUUCAGUAGCACUCCACUCUCAGUACCAAUUUACUGUAUUAGUUUGUUUUCAUGCUGCUGAUAAAACAUAUACCAGAGACUGGGAAAUUGACACACAAGAAAAGAGGUUUAACAGACUCACAGUUCCAUAUGGCUGGGGAGGCUUCAAAAUCAUGAUGGAAAGUGAAAGGCACAUCUCACAUGGUGGCAGACAAGAGAAGAGAACUUGUGCACAGAAAGUCCUCUUUAUAAAACCAUCAGAUCUUGUGAGACUUAUUCACUAUCAUGAGAAUAGCAUGGGAAAGACCUGCCCCAUAAUUCAAUUAUCUUCCAUUGGGUUCCUUGCAUAACUUGUGGGAAUUACAGAAGCUAUAGUUCAAGAUGAAAUUUGGGUGGGGACACAGCCAAACCAUAUCACUGUGUAUCCAUAUAUCUAUUCACUCAUCUAGUCUAUUGAUUCUGUUUCUCUGGAGAACUCUGACUAAUACACAUUUUAAUAAUAGCUAACACUUACAUGGCACUUAUAUUCUAGGCAAUGCUUUACAUAUAUUGUUUUAGAUAUAUUCACUCAUUUAAUUCUUAUUCACACAAGAUGAGUAUUAUCAUUACUGUCAUUUUAAAGGUGAAUAAUCUAAGAUACAGAGAGUUUAAAUAAUUUCUCAACAUUACACAGCUGGUCAGUGAUAAAUACUUCUCAAAAUGAUACAUUAUGUUCCUGGACAAAAAUCAUAAAAUGAAAUAGAACAAGAGCAGACCUUCAUUAAAAUUUUUUUCUUUUCUCUUUGUGUGGACUUGGUUUUGGAAUUUUUACCAUUAUGCUUACCACUGGCCUAAUAUUAAUGCUAUUGCAAGUAGUUAACAUUUGGUAAGCAUAUCAAAUGUAUGCCAAACUUUUUACAUAUAUUGUCUCAUUAUUCUCUCAAGAACCUUAUGAACUUGGUACUAUUGUUUACCAUAUUUUAUAAUGCAGUGGAAUAUUAAGAACUCAAACUCAGUUAUCUCUGACUCCACAAUCUUUACUCUUAAUUUUUUUGCCCCUUGGGGAAUCAUGGAAUCCUAAGAAGUUUGAGAAAUCUUGUUGUUCAGGUAGUUCAAAGACUUAUCUAAUGAAGUUGUCAUAUAGCAUUUCAUAUGAUAUUAAUCCAAUCUAAUCUGGAAUCUCUCCAUCAGUGCAAAGGCCUGAGCAGGCCAGCCAAAUGUUAUCUGGUGGGCCAAGAUCCAAGCCAGACAUACUUUCUGAGGCAGUCUAAAGCAGAGGAAGUGGUUGAGGUAGAACCAAUCUGCAGUCUAAUAGGGGGAAGUUGAAAAUAAGGAGGUUGAGUAACAAGACACAAAUAGUAAUUCCAAUAAAGAAAUUGUGGGCUUGUAAAGGAAAACAUCUGCGUAAUAACUAGAUUGAAGCAGACACUUGCCUGGGAUAUUUUAGCAAGCUAGUAGCUAUAUGGUUAGAAUGUUGGGCUACUUUAAAAGUAUAGAAUUGAGAUAUAGAGCUUACUAUUUCUAUUAUGACACAUUUUAGUACUUAGAAAAUUCUCCCAUGGAUGAAAUAGAAGCAUAUGCUUCUUUAAAACUGUAUCCAUUAGUUGUAAUUUUGAAACCACAGUGCAAAUAUACUUUCUUUUCCAUCAUUUUAAAACCACCAGUCAUUCCCUAAUUCUUCUCCCAACCUUUCUUACCAAGUAUUUAUCAGUUAUCAGCAUUAAAGAGCUUUUUGAGAGGCAUUAGCCAUCCUAAUUGUGUGUUAUUAUAAAUAUUAAGAAAAUAGGAUGACAAAUGGUGAAGCAUUUACUCUUGUAAUGGUGCUAACUGACAUAGUCAUUGGAAUGGAAUUUUCUGAAAAAGGGAUGAUAACAAUUUAGCCAUGUUUAGUUACAGCCUAGAUACUGAGAACAAGCCACCACCUUUACCCUGUGAACCCUGCAAAUUUGAGACUGGUCUCAGUUAAUUUAGAAAGUUUAUUUUGCCAAGGUUGAGGACAUGUGCCCUUGACACAGCCUCAAGUAGUACUGAGGACAUGUGCCCAAGGUGGUUGGGCCUAGCUUAGUUUUACACAUUUUAGGGAGACAUGAGACAUCAAUCAAUAUAUGUAAGAAGUAAAUUGGUUCAGUCUGGAAAGGCAGGACAAUAUGAAGCAAAGGCAGGAAGACUCAAAGUGGGGUGGGGCUUCCAGGUCACAGAUAGGUGAGAGACUAAUGGCUGCAUUCAAUGGCUUUAAAAGAAUGAGAGAGAUUUUCUCUGAGCAAUUCCCAGCCUGAAGUGGCCCUAGAUAUUUUCCUUUUACAUGUAUGAGGAACAUGUCAGUAAAAGCCAAAAAUGAGUUCUGAGAAGUCAGAGUCCAUUCUACGCUCUUUGAAAUGUGUCAGGUUAAAUAAAAUAAUACAAAUAAAAUGCUUAGUGCAUUCCUUAUUAGUAAAACUUCAGUAAAUGAAAGUAAUUAAAUACAGGGAGCAAUUGCUGUUGGCAAACAUAUUCAUGAUCCUGAGAAAUGAAGUCUGAGAACCUGAUAGCUAAGGAAAGCAGGAACACACACACACACACACACAGACACACACACACAUACACACACACACACACAACAGGCAUCACAGUCUGAAAUUGUUUUGUGAGGGAUAAACUGUCUGAGACAAUUAUUUUGUUAUAGAGUAGAGAAAUAAGUUCAAAGUAGCUUAAAUUCCUUUAAAUAUGAUUUCCUUAAAAGAAUCAGGUAUAUUUUAGAAAGGCUUCCCUACAAAAUGAAAAUAAAAAUUUUAUUUUAAUGGGUUAAAAUCUAAGCUACCUGAAAAACUUGUUUCUUAAAAAUGACUGAUUCCGGCUGGGCGCAGUGUCUCAUGCCUGUAAUUCCAGCACUUUGGGAGGCCGAGGCAGGUGGAUCACGAGGUCAACAGAUCGAGACCAUCCUGGUCAACAUGGUGAAACCCCGUCUCUACUAAAAAUACAAAAAAUUAGCUGGGCACGGUGGCCUAUAAUCCCAGCUACUCAGGAGGCUGAGGCAGGAGAAUUGUCUGAACUCAGGAGGUGGAGGUUGCGGUGAGCCGAGAUCGCGCCAUUGCACUGCAGCCUGGGUAACAAGAGUGAAACUUCGCCUCAAAAAAAAUUUUUUUUUAAAAAAUGACUGAUUCCACAUGGUUUCAGAUAGACAGGUGUUUGUCUUGUUUGGUUAAGUUUUGGUGUUACUAUGUCAGAUUACUUGACAACAUCAAUUCAACAUAAACUAAUUAGCACCUUGGAUCAGGAUCUCUAUUGAUUGUUGGGGAGUUAUAGAAAUAAGUGAGAUCAGAUUCUGCCUUCAAGGAGGGAACAAUCUAGAAGGAAGACGGGCAUACAGCCACGUAGAUUAAUAGCAAAUGUGUUUUAGUCACUUUGGGCUGCCAUAACAAAAUGCCAUAGACUGGGUGGUUUAAACAACAAACAUUUAUUUCUCACAGUUGCAGGGAUUGGAAGUCUGAGAUCAAGGUGCUAGUAUAUCUGAAUUCCUGGUAAAAGCCCUCUUUCUGCUUUAUAGAUAGCUGUGUUAUUGUAUCCUCACAUAGCAGAGAACAGAGAGGGAGAAAGUAAGUCCUCUCAUGUCUUUUUAUAAGGGUACUUAUCCCAUUCAUGAUUACUCUACACUCAUGACCCAAUUACCUUUCAAACUCCGCUUAUUUGGGCCCAUCAUGCUCCACCCCACGUGGGAGGGAUCAUAUAGGCAAGAGAGUGCAGGAACUGGUCAGCUACUUUAGCACCAGAAGGAGCAAAUUCCAUGCAGGCUCUGCAGCAGUGCCCAGGUUGGGGUGCCUGUGACCCCAAGGCUUCAGAGGGCAUGUUACGAUGGGUCCUUUGUCUCAUUGCAUGGAGUAGCUGCCCUCUGUCAGUGAGGGCAAAGGGCCAGUGUGACAGCCUUUUUUGGUACCCAUACUUGGUGGGUCCUGAAUUCUUUUCUGGUAUCCAAGAGAAUGAGGUCAUAAUUGAAGGAUGGUAAGUGUAGAGAAUUUUAUUGAGUGAUGAGAACAGCUCUCAGUAGAGAGGGGAGCUGGAAAGGGAACGGGAAAGGCAGGUCACUUUCCCUGAAGUCAAGUUGCCUGUCUGCCUCUCUCCUCCAAAGUCAGUUUGCCUCUGAUGUCUGGCCAUUGUCUUUGAAGUCAAGUCACCUCUCCCUGACAUCCAGCCGUUUCUUCUCUCUACUGGCUGAAUCUGCAGUCUUUAUAGUAACUGUUACCACCUAUGACAUUUUGGUGACCCGUGUGGGGACCUCUCCCCUACUCUUCUCCUUUCAUGUUUUCCAACUCCAACCUCUCGUUGGACAGCAUCCAAGCUUGGAGACAGCUGAUGAUCCUCAGCCAUGGCUAUUCUCCAGGAAGUCAGAAGGUCCCAGUAGAAAGACAUCUGAACACUGCCACUCAAUAGGCCUGACUACAGAGCAUAAGCAAAAGAACAAAGCAAGAAGCAUCAUGCUACCUGACUUCAAACUAUAUUACAAGGCUACAGUAAUCAAAACAGUACUGGUACCAAAACAGAAAUAUAGAACAAAUGAACAGAACAGAGUCCUUGGAGGCAACACUACACAUCUACAACUGUCUCAUCUUUGACAAACCUGACAAAAACAAGGAAUGGGGAAAGGAUUCCCUGUUUAAUAAAUGGGGUUGGGAAAAAUGGCUAGCCAUGUGCAGAAAGCAGAAACUGGACCCCUUCCUGACACCUUACACUAAAAUUAACUCCAGAUGGAUUAAAGACUUAAACAUAAGACCUAACACCAUGAAAACCCUAGAAGAAAACCUAGGCAAAACCAUGCAGAACAUAGGUAUAGGCAAAGACUUCAUGACUAAAAUACCAAAAGCAUGGGCAACAAAAGCUAAAAUAGACAAAUGGGAUCUAAUUAAACUCCAGAGCUUCUGUACAGCAAAAGAAACAAUCGUUAGAGUGAACUGGCAACCAACAGAAAGGGAAAAGAUUUUUGCAAUCUACCCAUCUGACAAAGGGCUAAUAUCCAGAAUCCACAAAGUACUAAAACAGAUUUACAAGAAACAAACAAACCAACCCAUCCAAAAGUGGGUGAAGGAUAUGAACAGACACUUUUCAAAAGAAGACAUACAUGAGGACAACAAACAUAUGAAAACAUUCUCAUCAUCACUGGUCAUUAGAGAAAUGCAAAUGAAAACCACAUUGAGAUACCACCUCAUGCGAGUUAGAAUGGUGACCAUUAAAAAAUCUGGAGAUAACAUGCUGGAGAGGAUAUGGAGAAACAGGAACACUUUUACACUGUUGGUGGGAGUGUAAAUUAGUUCAACCAUUGUAGAAGACAGUGUGGCGAUUCCUCAAGGACCUAGAAAUAGAAAUUCUGUUUGAUCCAGCUAUCCCAUUACUGGGAUAAUUCCCAAAGGAUUAUAAAUCAUUCUAUUAUAAAGACACAUGCACACAUAUGUUCAUUAUGGCACUGUUUACAAUAGCAAAGACCUGGAACCAACCCAAAUGCCCAUCAGUGAUAGACUGGACAGAGAAAAUAUGGCACAUAUACCCCAUGGAAUACAAUGCAGCCAUAAAAAACAAUGAGUUUGUGUCCUUUGUAGGGACAUGGAUGAAUCUGGAAGCCAUCAUUCUCAGCAAACUGACACGAAAACAGAAAAUCGAAUACCGCAUGUUCUCACUCAUAGGCAAUUGUUGAAUAAUGACAACACAUGGACACAGGGAGGGGAGCAGCAUAC